CGCAGCACUGCCCGGCUCCCGCUCGGGACAGAGCCCGGCUACUUACCCGGCCCUCGGCACGCGUGUCUGACGGGGCAGCACAUCCCUCCACCUUCGCCCAGGAAAAGCGCCCUUUCCGUGGCUUCCCGACACCAGUGAGAUUGGUACAUUUUCUUGCCUGUGUUCUCAUCGUUAGCAUUCUGCUGAGCAGAACAAGCCCCGGGACUCCCGAGGCCACGAGGCCUGCAUGGCAGACGCUGCCCCGUGCGAGGCCCUCCCACGCCAGAGCCGGCAGUCGGCCCUCAGCGCUUUGCCUAGCUGGCAAAGCAACCUGGGACCACGCUGGGCUCUCUGCCCCGAGCCGUGCGGGUUGAGAAACACCAGUCUGGAAGGGACAAAAGCCCACGUUACCAAGGCUUCUGUUGGAAAAGCAGUCCUUGGGACUCAUGGCAGUCUCUGGUGGAACUGAGGAAGGAAGUAGUUCCCUUCAGGAUUUACUGUCAUCUCGCCCAUAUGUAGACAUACAUGUCUAAAUCAACAGCAAGGUCUAAUUUCUCAGCAGUGGCAAACAAUAUCACAAGAUGAACUGAAACAUCAAGAGUGCUUUUAAAAAGGAAGUUGGAGAUCCCAAACAUGGCAUUCUUCAAAUACAACAAAACUUUGGGCAACUCCUGAGUCUGGCACCUGGCCCUGAAUGCCAAGGCUUGUUAUCCCCACUGGAGGAGAAAGGCAGGGGAAGGUCCUUGAGUAGGAAUUGGGGAGAAGCAGAGUAGCAAAGCUUACGGUCAUGGCUCAGUGUGACCUGGCAGGCAGUCAAGCCCACUGCAGAUGGACACAUACAGCUGCCAUCUGAGUGUUUGUACAGCUCUUUCCAGAGUUCCCCCGGGGAAAACAUGUUCCAAAAACCUUCACUCUUAUUUGUCUUUCUUUUUUCUGUCACUGAUAGCAGUCCUCUUCUAGGUGCCCAGUCUCAGUGUCUUGGAUAGAGGAUCUGGUGGCACCCAGGAAGUCAUUAAGAAAUCCAUUAGUAAAAGGUCUUGCUCUGGACUGCUCCAUGGACUAACUGUGGGAAGCCCUGUGAGCUCUCUGAGUUCUAAUCAAUAACAAUACCGGCUCCCAUGGGGCUGCUUCCCAUCCCAAGCCCCAGAGGUUCUGUCACUCUCAGCCUGAGGCUGUGGAAGAAUGGUCUGCCUUCCUCAGCAAGCUGUGGCUGCACAAAAAGAAAAGCAUGAAGCAUGUAAAAAUAACAGAUUUGAGAAAAAAAAAUUUUGAGAAAAUUGUGGGAAGAGGCCCCAAACCAAAUAGCUUCAUAUUUCUUUGCAGACCACAAGUCCAGAGAGUCAAACCAUUCCCGAACACAGUACCAUCUCUUGUCUUGCGCACAAAUGCCACAAACUGCUCCCCCAGUGCCAUGUGCUGAAACACCAGUUUUAAGGGAAGUUAUAUAUGCAUGUCACCAGUAUUUGACUAUAGCUCUUUGGGAAAAGACAAGCUCCUGGAAAUUUCUGUAUCUGGAGGAACUGAAGCUUAAGCAAAGGUUUGCCCAGAGAGGGUACAAAUCAAAGUUGGGGGUCAGUCUGGUCAAAUAGUUGAACUAUUCAGCAUGCCAGGUUUAGGCUUUUGGAAACCUACAAGCACAUGAAAUACAAAAAUGUUUACCAAUUGGGAUGUCCUCUAAUUGCAACUAAAAAAAAAAAAAAAUAGAAAAUCUGAGGAGUAGCUGUAGCUCAACCCAUGUCCAGGCACCAAAAACCUCCAGGAGAAGGGAGGCUCCCAGAGCCUUUAUUCUCUUCCCACUGACAAUCCAGCUGUGCUAGUGCAUAGGGAUGAAUGGUCCUGCUGGCCAUCAGUAGAAGAGUGAAGUGCAGAAAGACCAAACCACACCAGUCAUUCAAAAUAAGCUAAGAACAGGGACUGCGGACAUCAUUGUUCAUUUAUUGAAUCCUCCUGGAAAUUAAUUUUCCAUGCCCUGAAGAAAGCCACUUGGAUAUUUGUAAAUUCAAGUUGUCAUUUUAAUCAGAUGGAAGUCAGUUAGAAUUUUACAAAUAAUUUAAAUAAUGGUCAGAAUUUAAAAUCUAUGUUCCUACUCAAGGGCAUUUAAAGCCAUUGUAAAUGAAAAAUGAAAUUUAUCAACCAUUUGUCCCUUGCACUGAACAAGUGGCCUUCACUGAACAACUGCUGUGUAAGAGUUGUCUUUAUCUUGCUGAAGCUGAGACCAGAACCUACAGCACCAAAUGCUCUUUCUUCAGAGUGUAUCUCAGCACACACACACGCACACAAAGGAGAGUUAACAGCAGGCCUUGCUGACACAGGAGUUUAUCUUAACACAGCUAAUGCAUUACCAGCUAAUUCCUGGAAAGUCAAAGCAGCCAGGUCUCAGACCCUGUUCACACGUGUUGCUUGUGAUAAGAAGCCACACUUUUGUAUUUCUGCAUCUGUUUGUUAGCGUCACUGAACAGGUAAGCUGCUUUACUGCUAAAGGUGCCCUGACCGUCUCGUUUCCUCCCAGCCCCAUGUCAGCCUGCUACUCCAAGGAGUUAUUUUGGCACUGCUGGUUGCUAAUAAACAGCCAUCACACUCUAGGGAGGCUGCACCAUGGUUGGGGAUACAUAAAUUUUAUGCUGUCCAUAGAGGACCUCACAAUUAAAUACUUAAUUGUAUCAUACCCUGAAAGCCCAGAUAAAGUAAUUUGAAAAAGCAGUGCUCUAAUUUCCAGUUGUUUUGUUGUUUAAGAGCUUAGAAAUGGUAAAAGCAGGAACAAGGUUCUAGUCAGACAAAUGUCUGCAAAUUGCCAGAGAUAGGCAAUUAAUACUAAACUGUCAUUAACCCUGCAUACAGCUUUACAAAGCAGAGUAUAAAGUAAUCUGAAAUUGUGUCCUUGCCAGUUUCAUUGGGACUUGCCUUUUCAAUACGAAGACACCAAUUGUUUGAAACAGCUCCUAAUGAGUCAUUUUGGGCCACACAUAAAUUAUUUCUGCCUCAAGGGAUUUGACUGUCAGAUGCAAUAGCAACAAUGAUAUAUUCCUGGUUUGCUUUAUGUCACUGAUUUUGUGAUGUCUCUGUCUAAAUCCAGACAGAUCCAGACCUGGGAUAUCAUUUUGGCAGGGUGCCUCACGAUCAGAGUUAAGAUGUUUCUGCACCUUUCAAAGCCACCUUGAGCUUUAACACAGCCAGAUCCAUUUCCUUCAGGACAAAUUGGGAGCAAUACUUGCCUAUUGCUGGGGUGGGUUAGUCAGCACAGCCUCACCUAAUCCUACUCACCCACUCUUUGUUUGUGACUCAAACAUUUACACUUCAUGAUUUUUCUUUCCUCAUGGACAGUAGUGCUGGAGGCUGAGAGACCAUGCUUCUGGGUGGAUUAUGUCCUGACAGGACUGUGAGCUUGGAUGUGUGACUAACUCAGACCCAGAGGGAAAAAGGCUACCAGGUGUGGUUUCCAAGGCUUGUCUCCCUUCUAAGAUGGUCUUUAUGCUUCGAAACUGGCACCUUUUUAGGAAGGCUGGGCCUCAUUCCUUUGUCAGAAGAGACACAGUAAUGAUGUAAAAUACUCUUGCAUCAACUCAAACAAUACAGAAUAGCUACAUGAAGAGUAGAGUGAGAGACUUGUGGCAUAAAUACUCUCUUGCCAUGAGAAGGGAGGAGGGAAGCUCAUGCUAGCAUGGUAGAAAAGAAACUUGUGAGGCCAAGUGUCCUGAUUUCACUGGAACUGGGCUUGUGGCAGUUUGGGAGCACUGUAGUAGCACAACAAGCUGAUUGGGUGUUAAAUUGCGUGUCUCUGUCACCUGAGCAGAGUCCAGCAGUGAGGAUCCCUGCUGUUGAGCCACUUCACUGCCCGGAACAGUCACCUUACUUAUUGUGGGAUGACCAAAUUAUUUCCCUCCCUGAUGAGCACCCUGCCAGUAUUCCUGCGAACUGGAAAACUGUGAGAAGUGCCAAGGCAAGCAAGCUUGAAAUUACAGUUUUCAUUUAGCUUGGAAAACAAAUUUACUGUCUGUACAGCCCAUCCUUCUUGUCAAAGAAGCACAAGGUGAAGAAAACACAGCUGUGAGGCAGCCCCUUGCAGCUGAACAUCUCUAUCAGGCAGGAGGUCUUUGUAUGGUGUGAGCUGCUGAUAAGACCCAGGAGACUCACAGCUACCACACAGCAGGGAGCAGUUUGUAGCCUCAGCACUUCCACCAAGCGGCUUGGGUGUUGCUCUCAAAGUCCCAGAAAACAUCAGAUCAAUCCAUCAUUGCUUUCACACACAUCCCAUGGACAGUGCCUGUUUGUCAGCCUCCCAUCACAGAGCUUCUCCCACUGAACAGCAGCUGAAGUUACCUGGCAGAAGUCAUUCUCCUGUAUGGCACAGAUAAUCUCACAUGUAUUUUUGUUGGGUUUAGGGAGAUUUGUGCAGUAUGAGCAUGUACUUUUUCCACAGGGUGGUGAUUUGGAUCAAAGGCUCUGAUGUAACAUGGUAGAUUCUUUGGCUCACUCAGCUCUGCUCUACAGAAUUAUAAAUAUAGGCAACACAUUAUUAAAAAUUUAACAAGUU